UAAGGAAACCCCUAUGUCAAAAGUCUGGCUACGCCCCUGCAAUGUAUAAUGUGAGCUGGUGUUGGGUUGCAGGCAGAGGAGGUAUGACAGGCGCGAUGCUGCUCAGGCAAUUAGCCUUUGAUUGAACAAUAAUUAUCCGCCCACGUCGUAUGUUUUUGUGUGCAUUGUUGUCAUUCUUAGAUGUGUGUGGUUGGUUUUAGUGGUUCCCCAUUGUAAAUAAUAUAUGGCAUCAUCCUUUCCUGUGUGGUAUACUGACGUAACCAUGUUUGGUAGUGUAUAGUGACCAACGAUGAUUUGACCAAUCAUGCAUAAUUACUGUCGUGUUGUGUAGAUCUAUAUAGAGUUGGUGAGAAGCUACUUUAUACAAGAAUCAGCCCUGAUCAGGAGUAUAUUGGUCUGAUCCAUCCCUUUUUCAGACUGAGCCAUCAUCAUUAUGAGGUGAUUGUCAUUGGCACUUGGUAUGAAUUUGCUCACUAAUCCUCCCCCUUGAGUCAACACACACUUUGUGAAUCGGUUGCAGAAGUUGAGAGUUGUUACUAUCACUAAAGCUGCAUGUGGCUGCUACUGAUGAUAUUGAUCGUAUGCAAGCCUUGUGAGGUUACAGAGACAUUGGAAUGACUACCUUGCUGUACAACUCUACUAUGCUAGUAGUUGUGGUCAUGACCAAGAAGUGCUUGAGCUGCUACAGAGAGGAGCUCCACCCAACAACAGUGACUACUACACUAGAGAGCAGCGUGGAUACACUCCACUACACAGGGCAUGUGUUAACGACAAUCUCCGCAGUGCUGAACUACUCAUCAAGUUUGGAGCCAUUGUAGCUGCUACAGAUAACGAUGGUUGUAUCCCCUUACACGAUGUAUGUCUCCUCAACAGUAAGGCCACUGCUAAGCUGUUACUGGAGCACCACCGUCCCACAGAUAUCAAGAGCGGUGGUGGACUGACUGCUGCUGAUGUGACCAGAGGGGAGGGGUAUACCCUGCCUUGGCUGACUAUAUAUGGAGGGGUUCCAGCCUUGACCUAGAGAUCCUCUGUCAUCGUACCCAACACUGAAACAGCUGAGUCAGCUGGAAUGUGACCAAUGGCUUCAACUUGGUGUUCACUUGGGAUUGGGCAAUGACCAACUGGAAACCAUAAAGAAGAGCCAACAUCCCACAGCAGCAACUCUCCAGGCAGCCAAAAUCAAUAAUAUUGACACGCAGUGGAAGGAUAAUGUGGAAGCUCUAUAGUGAGCAUUGGAGAGUACAAGUUGGUAGAGAGUGUGUGCACUCAGCAAGGGGAAGGUGAGAGUGCUCUGUCAGUGAGUGCAUUCUAUGGCUGGCUGGACUGGGUCAAGCGCCUUGUGGAAACUGUGGGCCUCGAUCCAAAAGGAGAAAAUGGUAC